UUAAGGGCAUACGGUGGAUGCCUUGGCACCAAAAGGCGAAGAAGGACGUGGUAACCUGCGAUAAGCGUCGGAUAGGUGGAAACAACCUUUAACCCGGCGAUCUCCGAAUGGGGCAACCCUCUCAGGGUUAUGCCUGAGAACUUCCCGCUGAAUACAUAGGCGGGAUAGAGCGAACGGGGGGAAGUGAAAUAUCUCAGUACCCCUAGGAAGAAAAAGUAAUCCAACGAUUCCGUUAGUAGUGACGAGCGAAAGCGGAACAGCCUAAACCGUCUCAUACAUUCAAGGAUGCAACCGUUGUAUGAGCGGUGUUGCGGGGCGUUUGCGGUCUGAAUUGCAGAUAAGACGGAGAGUGACAAAUCAUGUGGUUAGCUGAAGCGCUUGGAAGAGCGCAUCACAGAAGGUGAAAAUCCUGUAGGCGAAAACGACAUGACUCUCUGGCGAACGUUCCCAAGUAACACGGAAUAAGUGGAAGUCUGUGUGAAUCCGGAGGAACCAUCCUCCAAGGCUAAAUACUCUUUGGUGACCGAUAGUGUACAAGUACCGUGAGGGAAAGGUGAAAAGCACUCCUAACAGGAGGGUGAAAUAGUACCUGAAACCGUAUGCUUGCAAACGGUCGGAGCAAUCUCGUUCCAGCAAUGGGGCGGGAGAGUGACGGCGUGCCUUUUGCUUAAUGAGCCUACGACUUACUCGUACGUAGCGAGGCUAAUGAACUAAGUUCAGCAGCCGUAGCGAAAGCAAGUCUGAACAGGGCGCUUGCCCGCCGCAAGGCGGGAUGAGUUACGUGCGGUAGACGCGAAACCCGGUGAUCUAUCCUUGGUCAGGAUGAAGUGAGGGUAAAACCUCAUGGAGGUCCGAACUGGUGUGGGUUGAAAACUACUCGGAUGAACUGAGGAUAGGAGUGAAAAGCUAAUCGAACUGGGUGAUAGCUCGUACUCCCCGAAAUAGCUUUAGGGCUAGCCUUGGGUAAUAAUGUGUUGGAGGUAGAGCACUGAUUGGGCUAGGGUCGUCACAACGAUACCAAACCCAGACAAACUCCGAAUUCCAAUAUCAUGUUUCCCAGGAGUCAGGCAACGACGGAUAAGCGCCGAUGCCGAGAGGAGAAUAAUCCAGAUCACCAGCUAAGGUCCCCAAGUCGAGGUUAACAGACAAAGGAUGUUGAGUUGCAGUGACAACUAGGAGGUUGGCUUAGAAGCAGCCAUUCCUUGAAAGAGUGCGUAAUAGCUCACUAGUCAAGCGACUUGGCGUCGAUAAUUCUCGGGACUAAACCUCGUACCGAAGCUGUGAAUGUCCCGCCGCAAGGCGGGAUGUGGUAGGGGAGCAUUCCAUUCAGCGACUGUGGUGGACACAGUGGCGCCGCAAGGCGACAGAAGGUGUGUAGCGAUGCAUGCUGGAGCGAAUGGAAACGCAGAUGUAGGCAUAAGUAACGAUAAUGCAACUGAAAAUGUUGCACACCGAAAAUCUAAGGAUUCCUGAGCAACGUUCAUCGUCUCAGGGUUAGUCGGACCCUAAGCUGAGGCCGAAAGGCGUAAGCGAUGGAAAACAGGUUCAAUAUUCCUGUACCUGUAUGUAGUCGUCUGACCAUAAGGAGCGACGCAGUAGUGAAAGAUCGGCCGGCUGUUGGCUUAGCCGGUUUAAGCCCGUAGGCGUGGGGUGUUGGCAAAUCCGCAUCCCAGUUAUCGCCGAGAGGUGAAUAGGAUCCCGCAAGGGAACAAACCGAUCCUAAUCAAACUGCCGAGAAAAACUUCGUAUGGGAGACUGCAGACAGACCGUACCGCAAACCGACACAGGUAGAUGAGAAGAGUAUUCUAAGGUGCUCGAGUGAGCCAUGGUCAAGGAACUCGGCAAACUAGCCGCGUAACUUCGGGAUAAGCGGUGUCUCGUCCGGUCAGAGGAUUUACUCCUCAAAGCUGGACGAGAUCGCAGUGAAAUGGGCCAAGCGACUGUUUAACAAAAACACAUCACUCUGCUAACACGUCAAGUGGACGCAUAGGGUGUGACACCUGCCCGGUGCUGGAAGGUUAAGGAAGCGGGUCAUGGCGCCGCAAGGCGCUAGAAGCUUGCGACUGAAGCCCCAGUAAACGGCGGCCGUAACUAUAACGGUCCUAAGGUAGCGAAAUUCCUUGUCGGGUAAGUUCCGACCUGCACGAAUGGUGUAACGAUUUGGUCACUGUCUCGACCAUGGGCUCGGUGAAAUUGUGGUACCGGUGAAGACGCCGGUUACCCGCAUAUGGACGGAAAGACCCCGUGAAGCUUUACUAUACCUUGGCAUUGGAUCCGGGCAAAGCAUGUGUAGCAUAGGUGGGAGACUUUGAAGUUGGGGCGCUAGCCUCGAUGGAGUCACCAGUGAAAUACCACCCUUGUUCUGUUUGAAUUCUAACCUCGUGCCGUAUAUCCGGCAUAGGGACACUGCCAGGCGGGUAGUUUGACUGGGGCGGUCGCCUCGACCGCUAUAUAAAUUAGGGGCUUUCACAUGGUAACAUGUGAACCCACAUCUGGCUGUAUGCUGGAACAUCCGUUCACAGAUAUCUUCCAAAAUCUCCGUUCUGGAAUCUAUCAAGUGAUGAAGUAUCAGAUGAGACUAUUUCUGAUCUCCCAGAUUAGAAAAGUAAAACAUCAUCUGUGCGGACAAUCAGCAGGGAAGUCUGGAAAAUUUCGGAAUACGGAUUGUCGAUUUCGGAUUAGGAAAAUCCGCAAUCACAAAUCCGAAACCCGCGAUCUCCUGACCCCUCAACGACUAUACGCCGGAUUCCCACGAUCUUGAUCUGGGGAAGUGAUAUAGUCUGAUCUUCUGCGCCGAAAGGUGCAUGAGCUCGUCAGAGUCCGACGAAGUCUGUCGACCUAUGGCUCAAUAGCGAUAUGAAGUCCCCCCGACAAAUCGGGGGGAAUCAAGUCAACCUGAAACAAUAAUGUAUUCACGAGAGAUUGAACAGAGGAAAUCCUCCCUGAAACUCUCCGAUCUCCAGCGAAACGUGCUGGUCGGAUUGCUUCUGGGAGACGCACACCUCGAAACG
rnacentral:rRNA from 1 species